UCAGCCACUCCCGUGCGUGCUGCUGGAUAGGGUUUGCCGCCACCCUCACUGGUCGCCGCCGCCGCCCUCAUCGGUCGCCGCCGCCGCCCUCACCGGUCGCCGCCGCCGUCGGUUUCCCCUACAUGGCCGGUGGAUAGGCCAUCCCGCCGGUCCAUUCCCGCCCCACCCCCAUCCCGCGCGUGGAAUCCCCUUUGACUCCCAGCCGCCCCCGCCGACGCCCACCAGCCACGCCUGCCGGCGGGCCGCCUCGCAUCGCCCGAUCCGCCGCCCAUCCCGCCUCCUCACCCAGGUUCGUCCGGAGCUCCUCCUCCUCCCACCGAUACUGCCUCUGCUUGCUUGCGAUUGCCGCUGGAUCCGCGCUUGCUGCCGCUCUGGGCCGGGGAAUGGCCGGAUCUCUGCCCCGGGGACCGAGGAAUGGCCGAAUCUCGUCUGGGAUUCAGUGUUGAAAAACUUGAAAUGGUAGCGGUAGGUGGCGGCUUGGAUCUCACCAGCAAUGGACUGUGCGGGUCUCCUACCCAGGAGGAGGACUAGGAGGAGCAGGAGGAGGGGAGGCCUGCUGGGCGCGCGCAGGAGGCUCCCCGCCGGUCCCCGAAGCCUAAACUGCAAGGUGAGCUCGUCCCCUUCUCUUCUUCCCUAUGGAUCAGUGUCCUGGCUCAUGUUCUCUGUUCUGUACAUGUAUGCAGUUUAUUUUCAGAGUACUUGUUGUGUGCAAAAUCCUACCCUGGCGCAUGUUGUUGGUUGUUUAAUUCUGGAAUCACAAGUUAAUGCAUUUUGCUAUGUGGGUACUACAAUCUUAUAUGGGCAACAAGUUCAAUAUGGUUUUUAGAAAAGGAAAGUCCAAUCUGGUUUUUAGAAAAGGCAAGUCCAAUCUGGUCAGUAGCUAGGCAAAUACAAUUUGCAAUUCCUGCCUUGCCGUAACAAGCUUGAUUUGGUAUGGUAGAAAAAUAGAACUCCUAAUAUCUCGCCCUCCCCCGAGGAUUCUGUGCCACUCCACGCCGGCAAGGCUUAAGCCUUCUUCUUCACGUUAUUUUUUUCUAAUAAGAUCACCGUUCGUAAAGAAAAAUCCCAUAGAUCGUGAUCAUCUAAAGCAAAAGCCCUAGCGAGUCUGCCGAGGCCUAGCGAGUCUGCCGGCUUUGUCGUCCUCAUGCCGCCGCCAUGCCUGUGCUUGGGCGCCAUCUAUUGUGGCUUCUUCUCCACCAACUCGAGCGAUUGAUCUCCUCUUUUCCCAUGCCGUCAUGGUAUCCUUGCUGACAUGUGUUCGUCCAUUAUGUCCUGCAGAUCCACCCACGCCCUCUCCAUUGCCACUCCACCGGUCGCGUAGAGAAGAUCGAGAAACGCAGCCUAACGCCGGUGUCGAGCUGAUUCCGGGGAUGAUUCCACUCAAACGUAAUGAACAUAUAUGAACAGGUUUGCAGUACGUCCAUGCCUUUGGGGCAUCUGGAGCUUCACAUAAUUGCUAAUUAGUGGCUGGGAUUUUGACGUCGCCUCUUAUACAUAUAUAGAGUUGCACUGUGAUUAAAUUUAUAUUGCUUUAAUAAUGUUCAAGCUUGGAAAAUGAUGCUCAGUUCUAGACAAUGGAAAUAAGUUGUCAUUAUUUCAGAACUUAUCCGUGCACCGAGACUUGCUACUUUGAUUCUGUUGUUUGCUAGAGAGAAUAGCUAUGUAACCUGGCCGACCUCUCUAACCUCAUUUAUGAAUUUGGUUUCUUAGAGUUCAACCAUGUCUUUCAAAAAUCAAACUAAAACAUAUUCCAUUUAUUUAUCCCACUGUUUAUAGGCAAUCUGGUCAUACCUUUGUAGUUCUAUUUGGAAGACAGUUAGAGAACAUUAGCUACCAACAAUAGCACUAUUUUUUGUCCGGCGAGGACAUCGACAUGCAGCCUGCUACGGACUCCACCACCAAUCAUCCUCAUGUAGUGGCGUGAGGUGCCCAUGUGUCAAGAUGGUGGUGCAACGGCUGGCAACAGCAUGUCUGGAUGCCAUGGGCAGAUGGGUGACAGUGAUAUACGUCCUACAUAGAUGUAUGAUUUCCUCUCUUCCACUGGAUUAUGAUGAAAUUAAGGAUCAAGUAUCAUAUGCUUGCAUGAUAGCUACGUACAGUUUUUCUGUACAAAUGGUGUGUUGCACUGCUAUUUUGUUGAAAAGACAUUAUCUUGCGGAUCCUUUUAUUUCAUAGUUUCUUUCCCUUAUAAUAUUUAUUGAUGAUUUGGUUGAUUUCUUGACUAGAGGAUUUGAAGAUACAAAUAAUUAUUAUUUUAUGAAUACGUGGUAUGAUCAAAAUAUUAUUUACAUACAGGUAUACAAAUAUUAUUUAUGUACAGUUGAAUAUUUCUAGGCUUUUCUUUCUGUUCGUCCCAGACAUGUUUGCUUGGAUUAAAAACUGUUAUAGCGUCACCUUAGAUUUUAAACAUUUCUUGUGUGUAACUUGACAUGAUGUGUACCUAAUUAUAUAUUUUCUUCUGCAUGAUAUGUUGGUCUUUCUCAAUGCACUCCAUCUCAGCCGCUUCAGGUCACCAUGAACUCAGUCCAUCAGUGUUACAAAUUUAUGAGUUCUUCCUUUUAUAUCUAUUAUAUUCAUGCCAAACUACAUUUAUACUACCAAAACCAUUCUAGUUGAUACAUCACAUACACUUCUCAAAUAUGUUUUCAUUGGCAAAAAAAUCAUCGCAUGCUUCCAUUUAUACUACCAAAACCAUUCAGGAAGUAACACAUGUCCAUCUAUACAUCCUUCCAUUGGCAAAAAAAUCAUCGCAUUUUUUGUGUGUUUCAUUUAUAGGUUAAAUGGUAUACAAAUUUUUUGGUUAUGUUCAUAUAAUUUUGUCAUGUAGUUUGUAGUGUUCUUAAUAAGGAAAAAUGCUAUAGCUACCUUUUUUAUUCCAAACUCAUGCGGAGACACGUGUAGUUUUAUCCACACGAUAAUAUUAAUUUUGUCACUGGACCGUAUAUAUGAACCCAUUUUUGUAUAUAGUUUUCAUAAGAUAAAACAUUUAUAUGUCUAUUUAAUUUCUUAUUUUGAAUUUUUUUAUACAUAAAAUAUUUGUAGUUUUUAUUCAUGCAGUAAGAAUGUUCUUUAUGUGUUGACCAUAUAUCUCAAACGAUGGCAGUUUAUAUAACUUUCUAGUAUUUAAUUCCGUAGUAAGAAUGUUCUUUAUGUGUUGACCAUAUAUCUCAAACGAUGACCAUAUAUCAAAGCUUAUUUGAUCCGAUAUAUCUGAGGCGUUUACUAUGAUUGCUAUGACUUUUAAUAAUCAGUAAUUAUAACCUGUGAAUGUUGGAUGUUAUGUCUUCUUGCACAACGCGUUGAAUGUUGUACAAUGGAUUGAUAAGUUUCAUCAGCAUUGCUUGCUUCCACAUGGCAUGUGUGACAUGCUAUUGAUCAUCUAGCGAGGAGACGCCACAUAUAAACGUCGAGCUCGCAGAUGUGUCAUGCUAUAACAACCUCCUUUAAAAUGUUGUAUCAUCUGCCACAAAAUUGAUAGUUAAUUCAAUAUUAUUGUGUCAUUGUAUUACUUUUUUUAAUGAUUUGAGAUUACUCACCACAUGCCAGCCAAUGUGCACGUCUCUUUUUUGAUAUAUUAUUAGAAACUCCUGAUUUGAGCUGGUUAAUAUUUUUGGUAGUCAAAAUUACUGAAAUAUUAUAAACUACAAAAAUAAGGAUCGACCCCAGCUUGCUAAUCCAGAGCAUAGCCCUAUUUUUUUGCUGAUCUCAUCGCAUGAAAUACUCUUUUUUUGGCUGAUCUCAUCGCAUGAUAUACUCCCUGUGUAAAACCCGGACUGGAGUGCUCUAGAUUGGCUUAUAUUUAAUACGGGCUGAAACUUUCCAUCCUUAGCCAAUACUAUAUUAGAGAUGCUAAAAAAAGCCAAUACUAUAUUAGUACUUUUGAUUUCAGUUGACACCGGAUUGGUUACUCAUAUAUACAUGGAUGUGCGUAUGUGGCCAGGACUUAUGUACGUGUCCGACCUGCCCUCUUUUACUUUUUCUUAGCAUGAGGUCUGGACAACUGCUUAUGUGUAUACGUGAUCAUGACUCUUUUUGACGGGCUAUUUCUAAUUCUUUCUAUUUUAAGGAAAUAUUUCUAAUUCUUUCUAUGUCCCAUUUUGUAGAUUUGCUUCAGAUCACGGAAGCUUGGGUUGAUGGAGUGCUUGUCUUUAGUUUUUGUUUUGACUUUGUGAAACUUGCUACCUAUGAUGAAACUGUGUAAUAUUGAUGAAACUAUGUAUAUGUAUGGAUGAAACUUGCUACUAUUGGUAAACUAUUGGUAACAUGUGUUGGAUAUGUGUUCGAUAUAUAUGUGUUCAUGACUAUUGGUAAUAUGUGUUGAAUAUGCUAUAUUGGUCAUAUAAAUAUAUUUGUUUGAUUUUCUGUGAAAAUGAAUUGAUAUAAGAAAAAAUAUAUUAAAUGGG
rnacentral:lncRNA from 1 species